CUGUUUGUUAAGGUAGUUAUAGACAGUACAGCAACAAUAAUAAUAAUAAUAAUAAUAAGUCACUGUUUGUUAAGGUAGUUCUAGACAGUACAGCAACAACAAUAAUAAUAAUAAUAAUAAUAAUAAUAAUAAUAAUAAGUCACUGUUUGUUAAGGUAGUUAUAGACAGUACAGCAACAACAAUAAUAAUAAUAAUAAUAAUAAGUCACUGUUUGUUAAGGUAGUUAUAGACAGUACAGCAAC